AAACUUGUAAAUAAGUCCAAGUUCACUACCCUAACCAAUAUGGCCGGCCAUUAGAAUAUUUUGGACUAAUUGGGCCUUUGUGAAUCAUUAUUCAUUAAGUUGUCAUACAACUUAUGUUAAUGGGCUUGACGUUCGAAGCCCAUUGGGCCUUAAGGUCCAAAACUAUCCCGAGGUCUUUAACGAACUUAUUCGUUUGAUUAAUUAACAUAUUAAUUAAUCCUUACCAUAAAUAAAUGAUUAAACCAUUUAAUCAUUCUUACUCAUCCCCAUUGUUUCUUCAAUCUCCUCCUUACACGGUGUGCAAUCCAUUAGGUUCCUUUUAGCGAGGCAGUGGGCGAUUAAAACCAUUUUACAUCGACUGUGAAUUGA
rnacentral:lncRNA from 1 species